UACGGAGGGAGCAAGCGUUACUCGGAAUUACUGGGCGUAAAGGGCGCGUAGGCGUUCUAUCAAGUCUUGUGUGAAAGCCCCAAGCCUAACUUGGGAAGUGCACAAGAAACUGGAAGAAUAGAGUUCCGGAGAGGAAGAUGGGAUUCCCGGUGUAGCGGUGAAAUGCGUAGAUAUCGGGAGGAACACCAGUGGCGAAGGCGAUCUUCUGGACGGAUACUGACGCUGAGGCGCGAAAGCUAGGGGAGCAAACAGG
rnacentral:rRNA from 1 species